CGAGUGGCGAACGGGUGAGUAACGCGUGAGGAACCUGCCUCAAAGAGGGGGACAACAGUUGGAAACGACUGCUAAUACCGCAUAAGCCCACGACCCGGCAUCGGGUAGAGGGAAAAGGAGCAAUCCGCUUUGAGAUGGCCUCGCGUCCGAUUAGCUAGUUGGUGAGGUAACGGCCUACCAAGGCGACGAUCGGUAGCCGGACUGAGAGGUUGAACGGCCACAUUGGGACUGAGACACGGUCCAA
rnacentral:rRNA from 1 species